AGGCGGUUCUCUAAGAGGCCCGCUAUCGGAAUGGGUACAAUUUAAACCCUUUAACGAGGACCUAUGAGAGGGCAAGUCUGGUGCCAGCAGCCGCGGUAAUUCCAGCUCUCAAGGUGUAUAUCGCCAUUGCUGCGGUUAAGAAGCUCGUAGUUGGAUCUGCGCCUUCGGACUCGGUCCUCCCAACGGGUGCGAACUGAGCUCCAAGGCUACUACUGCUGGUUUUCCCUUGAUGCUCUUCACUGGGUGUCUUGGGUGGCUAGCGAGUUUACUUUGAAAAAAUUAGAGUGCUCAAAACAGGCUAUUGCCUGAAUACCGGUGCAUGGAAUAAUAGAAUAGGAUCUCGGUCCUAUUUUGUUGGUUUUCGGAACUGAGAUAAUGGUUAAGAGGGACAGACGGGGGCAUUCGUAUCGCUGCGUGAGAGGUGAAAUUCUUGGACCGCAGCGAGACGCCCAACUGCGAAAGCAUUUGCCAAGAAUGUCUUCGUUAAUCAAGAACGAAAGUCAGAGGUUCGAAGGCGAUCGGAUACCGCCCUAGUUCUGACCGUAAACGAUGCCAACUAGCGAUCCGCCGGUGGUAAUUACGCCCCGGCGGGGAGCUUCCCGGAAACGAAAGUCUUCCGGUUCCGGGGGAAGUAUGGUUGCAAAGCUGAAACUUAAAGGAAUUGGCGGAAGGGCACCACCAGGAGUGGAGCUUGCGGCUUAAUUUGACUCAACACGGGAAAACUCACCCGGCCCGGACACCGUAAGGAUUGACAGAUUGAGAGCUCUUUCUUGAUUCGGUGGUUGGUGGUGCAUGGCCGUUCUUAGUUGGUGGAGCGAUUUGUCUGGUUUAUUCCGAUAACGAACGAGACUCUGGCCUACUAACUAGUGACAGAAUUAUUGCUGUUCUGGUUACUUCUUAGAGGGACAAGUGGUGUUCAGCCACACGAAAUUGAGCAAUAACAGGUCUGUGAUGCCCUUAGAUGUCCGGGGCUGCACGCGUGCUACACUGGAGGAAACAGCAUGCAAAACCAUUGCCGAGAGGCAUUGGUAAACCCAAGAAAAUCUUCCGUGAUCGGGAUCGGGAAUUGCAAUUAUUUCCCUUGAACGAGGAAUUCCCAGUAAGUGUGGGUCAUCAGCUCGCGCUGAUUACGUCCCUGCCCUUUGUACACACCGCCCGUCGCUGCCCGGGACUGAGCCGUUUCGAGAAAAGCGGGGACUGCUGCUGUCGGGGCUUUCGGGCCUUGGCUUCGGUGGAAACCGCUUUAAUCGCAGUGGCUUGAACCGGGCAAAAGUCGUAACAAGGUUUCCGUAGGAACCUGCGGAAG
rnacentral:rRNA from 1 species